GUACUGAUGAAAAGUCCUAAACUAGGACGAAACAGCCGUCCAGUAC
rnacentral:hammerhead_ribozyme from 1 species